UUGAGAAGUACUUGUUUGUACCAAAAGAUGAUGAGUUGCUGAUGUGCUUUGUCGAGGUAACGCUGUUUCCUGGGUGCAGUAUCGCUUAA
ensembl:miRNA